rnacentral:miRNA from 1 species
UUUAAGAUCGAAUCACGACCGAUCUUAAAAAGUUCAACUUUUAAAAUCAACUCUUUUAAGAUCGGUCAAGGAACCGAUCUUAAA